GUGUCACAUUUAAAAUAAUGACACCAUUGAACUUAAAAUUUAUAAAGGUGACACAUCAUAUAAAAAAUCUUCAAUUAGGAUAGUUAGAUGAUGCUAAUUUCAGAUUUACGGUGUCAUUUUUUGGAAGUGACACCACAUGAAAUAAAAAGUUUUAAAUUUUAUAACUCAAUGGGCCCUUUUUAAAAAUAGUGAGUAGGAACAAUUUAUGAAAAGUCCAUUGUUUCCAUAUAUACAUUAACUAAUAUAAAAGAUCUUAUUUCUUAACCCUAACCAUCGUUUUCUUCUCCUUCUUCUCACACCCAUGGUCGGCACACCCAUAAUUGAUAUUCUUUGCUUCGUAAAAUCUCGGGUAUACACUCUUGGGAGGACAAUAUGAAGAAUAAAAAGAAAGGAGAAAGAGGCAACAAGAUUUAGGUUUUUAGAUAUGACUCUUAUGUCAUACAUUAUAGGACAUAAAUGUUACUUUAUUUGGAAUUGAGAAUUUUGGGUUUUUGGAUGCAA